GAACCGUCCAAACGUUAUUCGGAAUCACUGGGCUUAAAGGGGUGCGUAGGCGGUCCGGCAAGUUGGGUGUGAAAUCCCUCGGCUCAACCGAGGAAUGGCGCUCAAAACUGCCGGGACUUGAGGGAGACAGAGGUGAGCGGAACUUAGGGUGGAGCGGUGAAAUGCGUUGAUAUCCUAAGGAACACCAGUAGCGAAAGCGGCUCACUGGGCCUCUGCCGCAAGGCAUCGCCUUCGGGCGAUCUGACGCUGAGGUACGAAAGCUAGGGUAGCGAACGGGAUUAGAUACCCCGGUAGUCCUAGCUGUAAACGAUGAGCACUGGGUUGGAGGCUCCUCCAUAGGCUUCCAGCCGUAGCGAAAGUGUUAAGUGCUCCGCCUGGGGAGUAUGGUCGCAAGGCUG
rnacentral:rRNA from 1 species